rnacentral:rRNA from 1 species
GAUGAACGCUGGCGGCGUGCCUAAUACAUGCAAGUCGAGCGAACAGACGAGGAGCUUGCUCCUUUGACGUUAGCGGCGGACGGGUGAGUAACACGUGGAUAACCUACCUAUAAGACUGGGAUAACUUCGGGAAACCGGAGCUAAUACCGGAUAACAUGUUGAACCGCAUGGUUCAACAGUGAAAGACGGUCUUGCUGUCACUUAUAGAUGGAUCUGCGCCGCAUUAGCUAGUUGGUAAGGUAACGGCUUACCAAGGCAACGAUGCGUAGCCGACCUGAGAGGGUGAUCGGCCACACUGGAACUGAGACACGGUCCAGACUCCUACGGGAGGCAGCAGUAGGGAAUCUUCCGCAAUGGGCGAAAGCCUGACGGAGCAACGCCGCGUGAGUGAAGAAGGUCUUCGGAUCGUAAAACUCUGUUAUUAGGGAAGAACAAAUGUGUAAGUAACUAUGCACGUCUUGACGGUACCUAACCAGAAAGCCACGGCUAACUACGUG